GAUGAACGCUGGCGGCGUGCCUAAUACAUGCAAGUCGAGCGAACGGACGAGAAGCUUGCUUCUCUGAUGUUAGCGGCGGACGGGUGAGUAACAUGUGGAUAACCUACCUAUAAGACUGGGAUAACUUCGGGAAACCGUAGCUAAUACCGGAUAAUAUUUUGAACCGCAUGGUUCAAAAGUGAAAGACGGUCUUGCUGUCACUUAUAGAUGGAUCCGCGCUGCAUUAGCUAGUUGGUAAGGUAACGGCUUACCAAGGCAACGAUGCAUAGCCGACCUGAGAGGGUGAUCGGCCACACUGGAACUGAGACACGGUCCAGACUCCUACGGGAGGCAGCAGUAGGGAAUCUUCCGCAAUGGGCGAAAGCCUGACGGAGCAACGCCGCGUGAGUGAUGAAGGUCUUCGGAUCGUAAAACUCUGUUAUUAGGGAAGAACAUAUGUGUAAGUAACUGUGCACAUCUUGACGGUACCUAAUCAGAAAGCCACGGCUAACUACGUGC
rnacentral:rRNA from 1 species